UACAAUGGAUCAUGUGAAUUCAUCAACGCAAGUGUAGUACGGGUCUUGUUCGGGUGCAUAUCUGACUUCUGACACUGUAAGCCACCACGUAGAUCAAAAGAAACAUGGCAAAUGAAAACUCGCUCCUUGAAAGCUUCGAGUCUUUGGCGGUGGGAAGUGAUUGGAAGAAACCAGAGGAACCUGAUCCAAUUAAUGUUCCAAUUUUUGCGUCUUCUACUUUCAAGACUUCUUCCGUAGAUCACGCAGAAGAACUUGCAUUGGGAAAGAGUGGCUGGGUGUAUUCACGUUGGAUAAACCCCACUGUUGAUGCUGCAGCUCAAACACUCAACAAUUUAGAGGGUGGACAGGGUACAUUGUUGUUCUCCUCAGGAAUGGCUGCUAUUACAAAUGUUCUGUUUGCUACCCUAAGUUCUGGAGAUCAUGUGGUGGGUCCCAGAAUGGUGUACAGUGGAACUUUAGCCCUGUUUCGAAAUCAUCUUCCACGAUUUGGAGUAGAGUGCACUCUGGUGGAUGGCUUUGAUGUUUCCAGUUAUCGCAAAGCUGUGAAACCAAACACCAAGGUUUUGUACUGUGAAACACCAUGCAAUCCGACAAUGACCCUGACAGACCUGGAGGAGUUUGGAAAACUUGGCAAAGAACUUGGUAUCAUUACCAUGUGUGACAGUACCUUUGCUUCAUCAUUUAAUCAAAAACCUAUUCAACAUGGAAUUGAUGUCGUCAUUCACAGCUGCACAAAAUACUUGGGAGGCCACAGUGACAUCACAGCUGGUUCCCUUACACUGUCAUCACAGGAAUUGCACCACAAAUGCUAUGAAUUGCAGAAAUUUUUUGGAGGAUGUAUGUCGCCUUUCGAUGCCUUCCUCUUACAUCGUGGACUGAAAACCCUUCAUGUGCGAAUGGAGAGGCAUAAUCAAAAUGCCAUGGAAGUCGCCAAGUUUUUGGAAGGUCAUCCAAAGAUUGAAAGAGUGUACUAUCCGGGAUUGCCUUCCCAUCCUCAUCAUGAAAUUGCGAAGAAACAAAUGACAGGCUUCAGUGGGAUGUUGUCCUUUGAAGUGAAAGGUGGGCGAGCAGAAGCAACAAGACUUGUUGAGGCGGUUUGAUGGACGUGCUGCCAUUUCCACCUUGCAUUACUAAAGAAGAUAAAAAGAGGUUAAAAACUUCAACGGUAAGGGAGCUGUAUCGCCGGGAACUCGAACCCCGCCUUACCUACAGGAUAAAAAUGGCAAAUGCAAACGAAUUUGAAGCUGGUUAAGCUGGCAGUGUCUCUUGGUGGAGUUCAGAGUCUGAUAGAGAUAGCGACCGCCAUGACGCACCCU
rnacentral:misc_RNA from 1 species